GUUCAUGAACACAGGUCGGGCUUGCUGAGAACAUGCUAAAUAAACUGCAGCACUGCGCGCGCGUCUCUCGCCACCUCAGGGCACAGUUUAGCAUGUUAUCCAUCCAUCAUUACUAUCGAUGGCUUGUUCACGUUAAAAGCACAGUUCAAAUGAUUAUUCUGGUGGUUAACACACUCACACAGAGCGCAGAUUAUACAGUAAAUAGCACUGUUCUGCGCAGGAACUACACUACGAUAAGGCUCGCGAAAGGUCAACAGGGUGCUCAUGACGCCAUAUUUAACCUCUCCACACGUCAAAUGAACGCGUCCUUUACUUUGUUUAGUCACAUUUCAUUGGCUACGAGUUGCUAUGGUGAGAAACGGGCUUAACCAAUCAGAGUCAGGCACUUUUCCCGUUUCUGUUCGAACGCUGUUAGCCAGCUAGCAUAGUGGCUGAAGUACUGCUGUUCUACUGCAGGAGGCGAAACAGUGGCGUGGAUGUUGUUUUAUAUGCCAUUAGGUUAUUUUCCGCUAUUACUCGCAUGUUGUUUGACUCAUUUUCGGUGGAACCUUUUUUGGCAACGCUGUUAUGAUGAAGAGAAAGUUGAAAUUUUUAAAUAUCAAAUGUGCUGUUUGACAUUCAGCACCACGCGCGAGCGCGACUCAGUCCGCACUGUGAUUUCAUUUCCUCAGCUCUGCCUCACAGUCCCUCUGCACCGCGCCGCUGGGCAUGAGGCAGCGUCGCCGGCUGUAACGCAGCUGCCUUCAUUUUGCAAAACAAAUGAGUUUAUACUGCGCUUUGGCUUCCCCUCACUUCACCCGUGCCCAGAUAAGGACUUCUCAAUUCACAAAAUGCACGUGUUGUGUUUGUUUAUGCAGCCUUUAUUUCUGCAAGUGACGUGUUAGUAGCUGGAGCAGGAAACCAGUGGCAGUAUUUACAGUUAGACGCUGAUAGCGGUUUCUAACCAACAGUCCCGGCAUGUGUCGAUUCAUGUGUCGACUCAGUGUUCUGAUAAACUCGACGCUUUUUUAAUAAUAAUAAUAAUACGCUGGCCAAAGUGUCUAUUAAAGGCCACUAUUAAGAGAUGUUAGACAAUCUUCUGCAGGCUUAAACUGUUGCCUCCACUUGAACUAACGCGCUGCCUGUGAUUCACGACAGCGCAGCACUUUCAGGCAGUUAGUGAAGUGUUUACAGCGUGUAAACAACUGUUUACCUCCAAAUCUAACAGCAAGUCGGUACUGCCAUGGAAGCCAUCAUGAAGGUGGGGUAGAAUGUAGCACAGAGCUGAAGUCCAUCAUCGUAAUCAGAUCCGUGGUGUUAGGAGUCUAAAAGAGCAGGCGCUUGAGACUGGCCGGUGGUGUAGAGCAGAUGCGAUCAGCUCAGAGUAAAGUCAGAGAUGGGAGGAAACCGGUGAACCCAGAGGAAACCCACGUGGACACAGGGAGACCAUGCAGAGAAACUCCAUACAGACAGUAAUCCGUGUUCAAGAUCAAACCGGGAACCCUGGAGCUUUGAGGCAGAAACAUCCAUUUAUAUCAUGCUGCUAUCACUAAUUUGUAUUUUUGUACAAGGAUGGAAAAUGGUCUGAAAUACUGAACCAGUACUUCAGUAAUUUUCACAUUUUAAUUGCUAUAUCUAUUUAUUUUUCUGCCCUACAUAUCAUACUGCUAUCAUUCAUUUUGUAUUCUUGUCAUAUUGAUAAAAUUACUGUCAUACCUUUAUUUAUUUAUUUAUUUAUUUAUUUCAUCACAUGUUCUGUUC